rnacentral:sRNA from 1 species
AUCCUGCCUCUUUCUUCUUGUCUCUCUCCCGCCCUCUCUCCCUCAUCACUUCUCCCGCGCUGGAACACAGCUCCGCCCUGUCCCUGUGUCCUCCGUAGCCUGAUCUGAUAACGUCCCGGGAUCUGGGGGAUCUGUUGGUAUCGUUGCGUUGGUCGUGCCUCCUUUGCCGCUCGCCCCACUCUGUCUCCCUCCAUCCCGAGUCGUAGCUGAGAGUUGACCGCGCGCUCAGUCUUCGAUGGGACCCCGAAGAUAAGGAAGCUCGAUCCUCGAUUUCUCUCAUCCUCCAAGGAACGAACGUCAGAAGGGAACCAGCCCGUAUCGUCCAGCAAACGCCGCACGUAGCCACCAGCACCAUCCGCCAACCUGCCUACGACUACGGGAUACGUGCGAACAUCUCUCUCUCUCUCUCUCUCUCUCUUUAGAGUCUACUCUAGCCCGACUUCCUCGGUCUGCAAGUUGUAGUAGUCCUCUCCUCUUGCGUGCACUCUGUCUGGACUCUGUCUGUUUACGUGUCUUCAUCUUCACAUUCAUCCUCAUCUUCAUCCUCAUCCUCAUCCCCAUCCCCAUCUUCAUCUUCUCCCUAUUGUCGCUCUUGGUGUUCUUUCUCCGUUGUCCCGGCCCUUUUUUUGCCUCUCCCCGCGGGGCCGCUUGAUCUCACCUGCUAUUUCCCACCCCCAGACCAGCCCGCGGGUCAGAUAUAGUUUGGACUUUUGAGUUGGAAUCGCAGGCUGCUGAAGCCCCCUCCAGUCUGGGCCACCCUUCUCUUCUUGGUACUGGAACGACGACACUUCGCCGCAGCCAAGUCUGUGAACCAUGUGCGCGCUUCCGGCAACUUCAACUAGGUUUUGACCAGAUCUCUUCCCUUGGCUCGCGUUCUCUCCUUGCCCUCUUUCUGUGCUCCGUUGAAGAGAUACAUUUGCGAUUAUAGUUUGUUCCCUACUCUUGUUCUUAGGCCUUCCUUGCCCCAGCCGUCUUUUCGCGUCUGCUGCCACGCCUUCAGCUGCUAUAUAUCUUGCUUGACCCCAUCCGGGAACCUUGCGCCUGCGGCGAAAAUAGUUGCAGGAAGCAGAAUUAAAACCAAUCUGCCCGCCCGCGGACGCUGUCCAUGUUUGUACAAGUCGCGACUGGGUGUGGUCAACCUUGAGCGCAACACCGCAUCGCUACCCCGAAACCGGCCGCUCUGCUGCAGUACCUUAAAUUGCGGCUUUUCUCCCCCUCAACCUUUGUUUCCUUCGGAAACCCUCUCCUACUCUCCUUUUUAUAAUUUCCCGCAUUUCCCUCGUUUCCCUCGACUGUCGUGUUUUUUACUUUUUGAUAUUUGUCGUUUCUACUUUUAUUUUAUUUUGUUUUAAUUUUCGUACAUUUUUCUUUCUUUUGCCGCGGAAACGCUGUGGUUCGUUUCUUUGUUUGUUACAGCUCAACCCACGGCUGCGUUCUCUCGCUGCUUUCUUCGAUUCGGAGACGCCACAACAGCUGCAGUCAACCCAUCAUUUAUUUAUUUUAUUUUAUUUUUUAUUUUUUAUUUUUCAUUCCCGCGCACAACCGCUGUUAAACUUACACUUAUCUGACUACUUUCCCUCACAAGGAUUCCACGUGAGAGUCCGCAAUUGGCAAAUCAUUAAGGAUCUUGUUCAAUCUCCCCCCA